UCCAUCAUCCCCUUCGACAGCUCCGCUUGUGCAGCUCCCCCGCGACAUCGGUGAUGCCACGCAGCUCCACCACGCCGCGACCCGCAGCUCCACCGCUCCCUCCAUCCCUACCCGUUGAUUUGUUUCCUAAAAUACUCACCUUUCCCCAUCCCUGCCCGCUACGAGGCCGAAUGUGUACCACUCCAGCAUCCCCGACGCGGUGUCCAGCCGGAGGAAGAGGUAGUCGUGGGCGGCGCGGAAGGCGCCGUCGGCCUCCACCAGCGCCUUGAUGUAGGUGUUGGAGCCGCCAGCAAAAUUUCAAAUUGGGAAGAGCAAAAUCUCACCUUUCCUUUUCCGGCGGAUAUGAAGGCGGCUCUCUUCUCUUCAUAGGGUUACGUCGUCGACCAAUUCACAUUGCUGGCGCCGUUGUCCCACCGAUGGUUGUGGCAGCAGCAAUUAUCUUGCAGGCUCAGGAAUUAUCUUUGCAGGUUCUCCAGACACAACAAUAAUCUUCAGACUCACACCACUAGUUGAACAGCAGCAGUAGUAGAGGUGGGCGGGGCAGACUCACCAGCACCAGUACAAGCAGAGUCGAGGCAAGGGAAAGGGAAGAAGCAUCAUCAGGGGUCCACGUCGGCGUCGCCCACCAGCAGUAGCAACAUCAGAGGCGGGAGUGGCCGGAAUUGUCCACGGUGCCGGCGACCGAAGCGGACAAAGUUGGAGGCGCAGGUUUGUGGCCGUGGGCGGCGAAGCUAGUUGCGCAGGUGGGCGACCGCAGACGGCGCUGGUGGGCGACCGCGUGCGGCUAGAUUCAACGGGGCCGGCGACGCAGCUCGAGGCGGGCGCCACAGGUGGGAAGCCUCGGCGCACGUCCAGGCGGGCGGCAGCGCUGGUGUUGGUCGCGUGCUGGGCGGCGCUGGUGUUGGUCGCGACGCAGGUCCAGGCGGGCGGCGGCGCAGGUGGGAAGCCGACGAUGGCUGCGAGGCGCGGGUGACGGGGGAGCACGAAGGAAGAAGAUGGAGUUAUUCGUGAUGGGUUUAAAACUCUGAGGGUUUUUUUGUAAAAAAGUAAAUACACUGUGCCGGGGACAACUUUUCCUGGACGAAGGGAGUAUAAGUGAAGCAUGAGUGUUCAACAAUUUCUUCAAAA